AGAAGAGAGCUCUCCCGAUACCCCACCCCGCCCCCACCCCACCCCAGCCACCCCUCCUCCCUGGCAUGGGAUUCAUGGGCACCAGCUGAGGACAGGGUCCCCUCCCUCUGCCUGCCAUAAACAUUGGCACCGAGGACCCAGACUGAGAAGGACACGACAUUCCCAAAGAAAAUGGUUUUCCUUUUAAGUUGCUUUGUGAAAUACAUAUGUAUCUAUUUUUUAAAAACAUUGCACCCGUUUUGGUGUGAGGGCGAGGCGAAGGAAAGAAGGUGACUGAGCCAGGAGGAGAGAGCACAGAUGGCUUGGUGGUGGUGUGGUGUGGUGUGGGGAGUGGAGCGACAGACGGAGAGAGGCGUGAGGACACAAAGGAGGAAACACGCCAUUGCCAAGACCCCAAGGAAGGAGGAUGGAGAGGCUGGCAGUCCUGCCUGGCCCCCAGCCAGUUUCCUGCUAAAGAUGGCCAGAUCCCCUUGCCUGCUCCUGCCACACCCUACACACACACCCCGCCCGCCCGCCCCAAGCUUUGCCAGCACACCAGUCACCACUCGGAAUCACUGGGUGGUUCCUUCUUACCUC